rnacentral:rRNA from 1 species
GAUGAACGCUAGCUACAGGCUUAACACAUGCAAGUCGAGGGGCAGCAUGUCGGUUGCUUGCAACCGGCGAUGGCGACCGGCGCACGGGUGAGUAACGCGUAUCCAACCUUCCCCUUAGUAGGGGAUAGCCCGGUGAAAAUCGGAUUAAUACCCUAUGUUGUUCGACGAGGACAUCUGAGUUGAACCAAAGAUUCAUCGCUAAGGGAUGGGGAUGCGUCUGAUUAGGUUGUUGGCGGGGUAACGGCCCACCAAGCCAUCGAUCAGUAGGGGUUCUGAGAGGAAGGUCCCCCACAUUGGAACUGAGACACGGUCCAAACUCC